UACGUAGGGGGCAAGCGUUGUCCGGAUUUAUUGGGCGUAAAGAGCGUGUAGGCGGCCGUAUAGGUCAGCUGUGAAAACUCGAGGCUCAACCUCGAGACGUCGGUUGAAACCGUACGGCCAGAGUCCGGAAGAGGAGAGUGGAAUUCCCGGUGUAGCGGUGAAAUGCGCAGAUAUCGGGAAGAACACCCGUGGCGAAGGCGGCUCUCUGGGACGGUACUGACGCUGAGACGCGAAAGCGUGGGGAGCGAACAGG
rnacentral:rRNA from 1 species